rnacentral:rRNA from 1 species
UAGUCCACGCCGUAAACGAUGAACACUAGUUAUUGGAAUGCUUGUCAUUUCAGUAAUGCAGCUAACGCAUUAAGUGUUCCGCCUGGGGAGUACGGUCGCAAGAUUAAAACUCAAAGGAAUAGACGGGGACCCGCACAAGCGGUGGAGCAUGUGGUUUAAUUCGACGAUACGCGAAGAACCUUACCUGGACUUGACAUCCUAAGAAUCUUUCAGAGAUGAGAGAGUGUCCUUCGGAAUUUAGUGACAGGUGCUGCACGGCUGUCGUCAGCUCGUGUCGUGAGAUGUUGGGUUAAGUCCCGCAACGAGCGCAACCCCUCGAUAAUAGUUGCUAGCACUUCGGGUGAGCACUCUAUUAUGACUGCCUGGGUAACCAGGAGGAAGGUGGGGACGACGUCAAGUCAUCAUGGUCCUUAUGUCCAGGGCUACACACGUGCUACAAUGGAUGAGACAAAGUGACGCAAUACCGCGAGGUGGAGCAAAUCACAAAACUCAUU